AGACCCGAAACCCGGUGAUCUAGCCAUGGGCAGGUUGAAGGUUGGGUAACACUAACUGGAGGACCGAACCGACUAAUGUUGAAAAAUUAGCGGAUGACCUGUGGCUGGGGGUGAAAGGCCAAUCAAACCGGGAGAUAGCUGGUUCUCCCCGAAAGCUAUUUAGGUAGCGCCUCGUGAAUUCAUCUCCGGGGGUAGAGCACUGUUUCGGCUAGGGGGCCAUCCCGGCUUACCAACCCGAUGCAAACUGCGAAUACCGGAGAAUGUUAUCACGGGAGACACACGGCGGGUGCUAACGUCCGUCGUGAAGAGGGAAACAACCCAGACCGCCAGCUAAGGUCCCAAAGUCAUAGUUAAGUGGGAAACGAUGUGGGAAGGCCCAGACAGCCAGGAUGUUGGCUUAGAAGCAGCCAUCAUUUAAAGAAAGCGUAAUAGCUCACUGGUCGAGUCGGCCUGCGCGGAAGAUGUAACGGGGCUAAACUAUGCACCGAAGCUGCGG
rnacentral:rRNA from 1 species